rnacentral:rRNA from 1 species
AUUGAACGCUGGCGGCAUGCCUUACACAUGCAAGUCGAACGGUAACGGGCCUUCGGGUGCCGACGAGUGGCGAACGGGUGAGUAAUACAUCGGAACGUGCUCGAUCGUGGGGGAUAACGAGGCGAAAGCUUUGCUAAUACCGCAUACGAUCUACGGAUGAAAGCAGGGGACCACAAGGCCUUGCGCGGACGGAGCGGCCGAUGGCAGAUUAGGUAGUUGGUGGGAUAAAAGCUUACCAAGCCGACGAUCUGUAGCUGGUCAGAGAGGAUGAUCAGCCACACUGGGACUGAGACACGGCCCAGACUCCUACGGGAGGCAGCAGUGGGGAAUUUUGGACAAUGGGCGCAAGCCUGAUCCAGCCAUGCCGCGUGCAGGAUGAAGGCCUUCGGGUUGUAAACUGCUUUUGUACGGAACGAAAAGCCUUCUUUUAAUACAGGAGGGUCAUGACGGUACCGGAAGAAUAAGCACCGGCUAACUACGUG